UACGUAGGGGGCUAGCGUUGUUCGGAUUUACUGGGCGUAAAGCGCACGUAGGCGGUCUAUUAAGUCAGGGGUGAAAUCCCGGGGCUCAACCCCGGAACUGCCUUUGAUACUGGUAGUCUUGAGUCCGAGAGAGGUGAGUGGAAUUCCGAGUGUAGAGGUGAAAUUCGUAGAUAUUCGGAGGAACACCAGUGGCGAAGGCGGCUCACUGGCUCGAUACUGACGCUGAGGUGCGAAAGCGUGGGGAGCAAACAGG
rnacentral:rRNA from 1 species